rnacentral:lncRNA from 1 species
AUUUAUUUAAAAUAGUACCCUCGACAGGACCCUUAAGCUGUCCAAUACUCUCCAAAAAUUUAAAAAUUAGAACAGAAAAUUAAAUCCAGCCCAAACACUAGAAUGCUUCAACAAGCAAAGAAAUUAAGAGUUUCUAGAUAAUCUCAAAACCUAAUCCACCUGUAAACAACACAAUCAGGGGAAAAACCUUUCAUUUCCUAAUUGAGCUCCAAACAGAGCAUUUUAGAUGACUCUACUUCCCUUCCAUCUACGAUUGUAAGUUUUCAAUCCAGAGCCUUUACCCAUUGUCGAUCAACUUCUACCAUUGUCUUUGCAAAUUUUGACCAUCAUACAUCAGGAUAAUCUCUAUUCUCUGUUUAAACCCUUCAGUUGCUAACCGGUGCGCUGCUCCAUUGGCUGAUCUCUAUGCAUGCAUGAAGGUACAAAAUUGGAAAUCCUUGCUUAAAAUUUUCACAUCGUCGAUAUAAGCAAAAAUCUCAGAUCUAUCUCUCUCCUUUUUCCGUACUUUUUUUUAUCACAGUUCAGGAAUCUCUUUCAACUUCUAGCCUUUUGAUAUUCAGAUCUAAACACAUUUUCAUUGCCAUGGUACAAGCCACUUCAGCCGCAAAACGUUGAAGGUAUAUUCUCAUGAAACUUACGACACAUUUGGUUCACUGGAAUGAAAUAGAGUUAUAAUGGAAUAGAUCUGUAAUGAAAUAAAACUAUAAUGGAAUAGAGCUGUAAUCAGUAAUUCAAUUUUUUGGUUGAAUGUAAUGAAAUAGAACUGUAAUAGUAUUCUUGUGUUUGGUUGAAUGGAAUAGAUUUGUAAUAGCAUAAAGAAAAAAUUAAAAUGACCAUAGUAUCCUUAACAUAAUUUUUUUAGGUAGAUGAUUGUUGUUAUUAAAUUUUAAUAACAUUAUUAUUAAAUAUAAGUUAAUAAAAAUAAAAAUAAAUAAUUUAAUCAUAUUUUAAUAUAAUUAUUAUUAAAUAUAAUUUAAUAAAAAUAAUAUAUAAUUUAAUAACAUUCUUAAUAUAAUUAUUUUUAUAUUAAAUUAUAUUAAAAUAUUUAAAAUAAUUUAUUUACUACCUUUUAAAACAAUAUACUAUUAUUUGAAUUGGAAAAAAAAUACUUUUUUGUUAAAAUAAUACACUACAUUUUAUUUUUCUUUUUUCAACUAAAAGAGACAAAAAUGUUUGUUUGCCUACAUUAUAGAAUUGAAAAAGGUAAUGUUAAUGAGACAUCUUUGCAUUAAUGAUUGCUUUAAAGGAAGGGAUUAAAAAAAUUAUACCAAAUGAUAUAACCCCUAAAGGCCCAAGAUUUGGCUUCUCUUCAUUUCUUCUAACAAAUGAAGAAUUUCCCAAAAUAAUAGAUCACAAGCAAAUAAACAAAAGGUCCAUUAGAAAAUGAAAACCCUAUUCUAUUCUCAGUCUCUUGGCUCUCACUUCCUAAAGAUCAAACUCCAUCUUUAUCUCUGUUUCUUCAAUCCAUUCAUUACUCCAACCCCAAAAACUAAAAUGCACAUGCCACUAUGAAAACUGUUAAAGAAUAAAAAAAAAUAACAAUUGCUCAUUAGAAGCUUCAGUGAUGAAUUUAAACCUUGGAAACAAUUUUGGAUGCCAAUUGUCAAGUAUUAGAUGCUUGUGAUCCACUUCAAAAGUUCUAAGAGAAAAAGGGAUUCACAUAAAUUUUAACAGAGGACAAUCAAUUCAACAUUGAAAAGAUGCAUAAAAGAUUAAAAAUUACAACCAUUAGCAAUUUGCAGCUAGUUAUAUAAAUAUGUUGGACAGGGAUGUAAGAUAAUAUGUAUUGGAUACAAUAAGGAAAAUAAAUAAGAGGAGCAAGCUAAAUACAAUCCAUACCUAAUUAAUCUCUAGUUCUUUAUUUUUCCUACAUGGAGAUUUAAGGAAAAAUACACACUUUUUCUUACACAAUAAAAUACACUCCAAAAGGAAAAUAUAAGAUAUGUCAUCUUAACUCUCUUUUAACUGUUUUCGCAAUUAAUUGUUUCGAAGCCUUCUGUGGGUCUUUAAUUUUUUGCAAUAUCAACGGCCUCUUGAUUACUCAUCAUCUGGAUUAAGCAUAUGGAAAAGGAAAAAUUAUUCCUAUAAAACUAUUUCCAACUCAAUAAGGAGACAUCAAAGUAAAGUGUUUUACCUUCCAAAGACCAUCACUUGCAAGAAUUAAAAUAUUUGUUUUGUUAUCUAUGUUAGUCCAUUGAAUGUAGGGAUCUGAUUGUAGAUGCGAUUUAAGGCUCUUGUCACCGAAAUCACACGAAAUUGCCAGUUGUCCAUUAACUCUAGGAAUAUCUCCUGAUAUCAUGCACAAACAACAAAUUUAACAAUCUUAUCAUCUUAGCAAAUUAGAAAUAUAGGGUCUACUUUAUGCAAGGAAUAUGAUGCAUAUAAAUCAACCAAAUUAGAACCAAGACCUUAAUACCACUCAAUAGUAGAAACUUGAAGUUUUCAGGCAUCGAUUUCUUUCUUAGUAUCUCAUCAUGUAGGGCCAACAAACAAGAAUCAAAAUGAUAAAACAUAUACAACAUAAUGGCGACUGGCAAUUUCCUUUUUGGUUAGUAAGACCAAGAUUCUAAAUGCAAUGGAACAGGACAUUUCAAAAUUGUAGUGGCCUUAACGUGCCUAAUGCAUUUUUACUUCAUAACCAACACAAAGACGUGCCUUAAGAGACCAUUAAGUUGUUAUACAACAAGGAGAAAAAACAUAAAACAAAGUACGGAACUUCACCAGUGAUUGAUAUGUGAAAAAGGAAAAACAAAACAUUUUAUGGUUUACUACAAGGUUAGAAAAGCUGACAAAGAUGAUCUCUCCUUAUGAUUGCAAAGAGGCUAAGAGCUAAAUAUAAUAAUUAAGUAUUAGAAGUUGCAAGACCACUUGAAAACACUCAGCAGAUAUAACAAAAAACAUUCAUUUUUGUUUGAAAAGAACAAAACAUCUCUAAAGUUGUUAUUCUAAAGAUUACAAUGAAAAUUUCAAAACCAUGAACCACCAUAACAUGUAAACAUAAACAAACAGGAAACAAAAAGGUAAAAUAAAAGAGCUUCUGCUAAGAUAAGGGAAAUCAAAAUUAAGAUAAAGUGACCAUAACCAUAUGACAUGUAGGUUUGUUCUUGUUUAAAAUUAAAAGUUGCCAGAAUAUAAAGGUCUUUUCCCUUUUAAGUGUAUAAGAAAAAGCAUCAUUCAAUCAGGAAGAUCAAAGAUAUGCAACUUUACACCAUUGUUAUUAAAUUGAUUCAUCAACAAAAUGAAACUAAAUUAAAAUUGUUACCCUCUAAAACUAGAUACUUCUUUGUUUUCAUGAAUAUGCAAAUUGAUGUUUGUGAAUGCAAAUGCAAAAGGUAGCAGAUUUAUUUUACAACCUUACCACAACCAGAAACUAUUAACCAUGAUAUUAAACUGAUAUACAAGAAAUAAAAAAAAACCAACACAUCAUAAACAAAUAAACAACAAAGAAAACCACACAAAAGUUUCACAAAUACAACAAAAGCUUAUUUUAUUUUAUUUUCAUGGACAAUGUUCACCAAUUUUCAAAUAUAUGCUUGCAAAGUGUUUGUGAAUUUGACAAUAUAAACAAAAUAUCUACUCUCUUUGAAAUUAUUGAAUUAUGGGAUACUUUAACAAAAAAAAACAUAUUGUGCUGAAUAAUGUGCCAUCUUUGGCUGAAAAGAAAAGAGAAAAAAGCUUUAUGAAUGCAAAAUUUGCCACACGAAAAUGGAAAUAUGAUUUUUAGUAAAAGAAGUAUAUGCUUUAAACUUCUUGAUGUUGGUAUUUGAAAAAACAGGAUUUAUAAAUUACACCUCACCAAGUUUACAUGAAAUCACCAUAAAAAAACCCAUUGUCAUAGUAGAAAUCCUUAUUUAUUGAAUAAUUACCAUCAGAAAGCAAAGUUAUUAAACCCAGAAAAACUUUCAUAAACAAAUAAUAAUAAAAACCCAAAAGCACAAUUUUACAAUUAUUUCAUUGAAAUCAACUUUAAAAGUAGUACAUCCAUAUACACAAUAAAAAAACAAUAAUGAAAUUAGAAAUUUGGGUCGGAAUUAAAACUUACCAGAUCUUGGAUCCUGCAAGACCACUCAAAAAAUGCUUCACUUCUUUUUUUAAUGGAUUAAACAAUCAGGAAUUUUGUAAAUAUAUUGAAGAGAAAAAGAGUUUUGGUGUGCGAAACAGAAAGGGUUGGGAGGAAAUAAAAUUAAAAGAAAGGGUUUAAAUUAAGUGAAGAAUAGAUGAUAUUGGAAAGUUGUUGAUUUACAAUGGAGGGAAGAAGUAUGGAAAAAAAAAGAAAAGAAAUUCAAACAUUGGAAAGAAGGGAGGAUGGUGAGGGUAAAAUUGAAAGGUUGGCUAAUUUGUUACUCUACCUAUUCCAUAAAUCACCAUUUUGUGGGGAGAGUACAAAAUGGUAUUCUGCAUUUUCACGCUGAAUAAAGUUGUAUAGAAUAGGUAGCUUAUUACAACCAACCAAACAAUGGUUUGGUGAUGGGCCCAUUGAAUUGGGCUGUAAUGCAUUGUUAUUCUUUCCAACCAAACAUAAUGUUAGUUUUUGAAGCUAUUACCUUUCCUCUUGAAUCCUUUAUCAGAAUACCAGAGCAUGACCUUUUCUCAUUUUUCCUAUUACCAGUUUCGAAAUUGACUUUGACACAUGCAUUCUCUGGCCUUUUCCAUCGCUCCAUUGCACCCCAUUUCUCCAAUAAGAUUCUCAUAAGAUCAUCCAGCUCUUUAAUGUAGUUCUUGAUGAAAUUCACAGUAUAUAGAACAACUUGUCUUUCCUUUUCAUGCACCAAUUUAUCUUGACUCAUCCAAAUUUCCCACAAAGUGCAAAGAAAUAAUUUGCAUUGACUUUGUGAACAAUGUUAAAAAAUGUAGGCUAUCCAGUCUCUAUGACUCGUAUUUUCCAAAUUUUGGGGCCACCCAAACCUCAACUUUUCUCAAAUCUCCUUUGUAAUUCUACAAUCGUGCAUCACAUGUACUACUGUUCUGCUACCUCAUCAUAUCUAGGACAACGUGUUGUGACGAUCAGUCUUUGUAGUGUAGGUUGUUUAAAGUAGGAAUAAAGUUGCAGAUUAUACGCCACAUUGUAAUCUUUAUUUUUUGUGGUAGAUUUAACAGCCAUAAUUUUUUGUAAAGAUCACCUUCUGUAUUUUGUUCUUGUCUAGCAUUUGGGUUUGUAAGUCCUUGUAAAAGGAGCUUGUAUUCACUGCGUAUAGAGUAUUCACUAGAUGUUUCUCCUCUCCAUGUUAUGUGGUCUUCACUUGGGUAACGUGAAAAAGGAAUAUUGAGAAUCUUUUCAGCAUCCCUUUCACUAAAGGUACUUUGAAUAAGGUCAUUUUUCCACCUUCUAGUGUUAGGUUCUAUCAAAUCUACAACUAGUCUCAUAUCUUGAUCACUAACCCCAUCUUGAAUUCUAUAGUUAAUUCCUCCUGGAACCCAAGUAUCAUUCAAAAUCGAAAUGGAGGUCCCUAUACCCAAUCACCAGCACAAACUGGCUUGAAGGAGCCCUUUUGCAGCUUACACACUUUGCCAGGUAUAGGAAGGUAAAUUACCUAAACCUACAUUAAUAAUUUUUUAACGGUUAAUACUUUGAUUUUGACAUUCUUACUAACAAGAAAUUCGUAUAGUAAAUUAAACGCCAUCCUUGUUUUGCUAAUAACGCCAAAUUGAACUUUGUUAAGCUUCUAAAAUCAAGACCACCAUUCUCUUUCAAACUGCACAACCUUCCCCUAUCACACCAAUGUAAUCCAAGUUUUCCAUGACUUUUCUACUACCAAAACUUUCCCAUAAGGUUUUCCAUUCCCACACAGAGAUUUUGGGAGAAGAAAAUAAGACAUAGAAUACAUCAGAUUUGAUUGCAAAAUGAAUUUUAUAAAGACUUCUUUUUCUCCAUGUGAUAGAAAUCUUGUACUCCAAUUGUCAAUUUUCUGCUUGAUACGAUCCAUAAAAGUUUGAAAUGCCUUUCGUUUUGCUCGUCCCACCAUAUUUGGGAGCCCCAAAUAUUUUUCAUGAUUGUCAGAACUUCUAAAUCCCAAAAUAUCUUCCACUAAAUGCCUUUCUUGAUCACUAACAUCUACGCUAUAAAAACUUGUUAACUUCUUGAAGUUAACACAUUUCCCUGUACACCCUUCAUACUCCCUCAGAAUAUUUUUGAACACAUUUUCCCCAUUCUCACUUGCCUUUCCAAAACAAAAUGUAGUCAUUUGCAAACAUAAGAUAUGUAAUCUGAGGGCUUCUACGACAAACUUUAGCCCUUUUAAUAGACCUUCUUCUCAAGCUAAUCUCAUAAGUGUAACACCCCUAACUCGUAUUAGUCGCUAGAAUAGGGUUACAGAGCAUUACCGAAGUUUACAUUUCAAAACUAUCAAAAAAUAUAACUCAUUUACUUCGCAACAUCAAUCAUAGAAAAUUUCAUCAAUAACAUACAUAUUGUCUCUUAUACGAGCCCUCGAGGCUCUAAAAACACAUUAGAAACAAAUCAAGACUAAAUCGAAAACAUAUAGAAUUUUCAGGGAAAAGAUGAAAAUUUUCAACCUACAGGGCUCAUAUGGCUGAGACACACGCCUGUGUCUCAGGCUGUGUAGACAUUCGGAGUAAGGACACACGGCCAUGUCCUAGCCCAUUUCUGUGCCCGUGUAACUCUCUGACUUGGGUCACACGGCCAAGCCGCACGCCCGUGUACCCUUCGAAAUGACCUCACACACCCGUGCGCCAGGUCAUGUGCUAGGCCGUGUAACUGCCUGACUUGGAAUCCCUUAGUAAGCUACAGGGGACACACGACUUUAUCGCUUGGUCGUGUGUCACACACAGCUAAGACACACGUUCGUGUCUCUACCCGUGUGGACGAAAAAUAGGCUAUUUCCAAGCCAUUUUUCUCACCCAAUCAUGCAUACACCUACAACCAAUUUUCCACAUGUAAUCAAGCAUUCAAAUUGCAACAAAUAAUGCAUCAACAAGCUAAAUCAAUAAGGUAUAUAUUCACACAACCAAUAUGCCCAAUAGGCACCUCCAAUCACAACAAUCAUACAUAUGUUCACAUUUGCAUAGUUUAGCCAAAACUCAACCAACUUAUAAUUAAGUUCAUGCCAAAACUUACCACUAGGUUCACAUAUCAAAAUCACACUCAUAUGUACCAAAUUUACCAUUUAACAUUUAGCAUAAAAGCCAUAAAUACCAACUACAUUUUUAAUACCAAAAUGACCAUGUUCAACGUCCAUCAUCUAAGCAUCAUAAGGACUAUAAAGUCAUCCAUCAAAAGGCUACAUACAUAUAUGCACAUAUCAACCAUUUCAAUCAUUCAUAAUACCAAAAUUUACAAGCCAAAACAUAAUGGCUAAAACAUCAAUCAAAACACCUAUACAUGUGCAUAUUUAACCAAUUAUCAAUUAACUUGUUUCCAUGCCAAAACAGAACAUAAUUGAUACAUAACCACCAUACCAUAUUAGAUUCAUGCCAUAUCUAGUUUAAAACCUUUCCAAAGCAUACCAUAUCUUCACCAUGUUGAGGCCAGUUCAUCAUAUAUCACUUUGGCCAUUCAAACAUGCUUUAACACAUUAUCAAAUUAACACAUAUCAACAAGGCACCAAAUGUACCAAGGCUACAUCACCCAAAAUGACAUAUACAUGCCAAACUCAUCAACUAACAUUCAACUAAUCAUCAACCACAAGUCCACCUAUACAUGCCAUUAUAACCUUAACCAAGACAUCAAAAUCCACCGAUAUAAUCGUUGGAUAGUGUGAUAGAUCUUCAACGAGCUUCCAACCCAAUCGAGCUUCCAACCUAAUCGAGCUUCUGAUAAUUUGAAAAGUAAAGGAAAAACAACUACGUAAGCAAUGUAUGCUUAAUAAGCUCGUAUAAACUUUAAGUAUAAAAAUUCCAUUUCGAUAUUAAACUUAUUAGAAUAGACAUAAACCUAUACCAAUGCCAAUAAUUCAUAAAUACAUAUGAUCAUCGACUCACAAAUGAGUAAAUUCAUUAAUAUCAUAUAUAUCUAUCAUUCAUAAUAUGAUAGGAUUUUAUGGGACAUAAUGUAUAACCAUCGACCUUUCUAUAAGAUUAUACACCUUUUAGUUUAGGUACUUUCCAUUCUGUACUCAAUGCUUAUCAUAAGCCUAAACAACAUUAUCAAUUUCCGACUUAGUGUAUUUAUCCCUGAUCUAGAUAUAUUCAUCCAUAGCAUACACAAUUUUUUUCACAUAUAAAUACAUCAUUUAUCAUAUUAAACUUUUUAUAACAUCAUAAUACAUCCCAAUUACGUACUUACCAUUUUGUUCCCUUUUCUUACCCGUACAUAUGCAUAGUAUAAGCAUAAUCAUAAACAUCAAUCAUAUCCACAAGCUUAGCAUAAGCCUAAGCACAUCAACAACAUAUGUUAGUUCAUUUAAACAUUAUUCAUAUGAAUUUAACAGGGAUAACCAUUAUACUUAAGCACAAUUCAAUUGGAUUUAUCAUUCAUCUCAAAACAUAUCAUAUUUUUCAUAUAGCACCAUUCCAACAAGUUUUAUGCAUACAUAUCUUAAUUCAUAUUAAACACUUACCAUUUCAUUUGCACAGCACAUAAAACAUAAAUAUAACAUUAACUAUAUUCACAAGUUAGUGAAUAAACACAUAAUUUAGCAUAAUCACUGCAUGGUAAAAUAACUUUCAUGAAUAUAGCAUAUAAGCUUUCAUACUUUUCAUGAAAAUGGCUAUACACACUUUAACCAUUAGUAACUCAUACCUUUCUAUACUUUCAUGACAUUUCCAAUUGGAACACUUACCGUUCCUUCCUUUUGUAUGCCUAUUGAACCACUUAGAAUAAUAUCAGAUACGCGAAAAUCUCACACACUAUGUACUAACAUAUGGUCGAAACCAUUUCUUCUCUUUUCUCAUAUAAAUGCUCUCUCUUGAGCCAUAAGUGGGUCUGCUCACACAAGCUAUCAAGUAACCGCAACACAUGCCAAAAACUUAGCAACCGAUAGGACGUUCAGGACUAGCACCCGAAACACUGUAACCCCUAAUGUUAUGUCACUUGUAUCCUAUAUGUUCCUAAGGUUCAAACGGGGCUCGAUAGUCAUCGUACGUCGUUGAAUUUUCAUCGUUUCUUUACUCGAUCAAUUGUGUAAUUAACAUAUAUAUAUUGAUUAAUUUUCAAUAAAAUCAUAUAAUAACAUUUAAACUUACCUAGCGAUUUUGCAGAAAUAUCAAAGUACAGGGGCAUUUUGAUAAUUUUCCAUUCUCCUUGAUUUUCCACCCGAUCUUGAUCUAAAUUAAUAAUUUCAUUCAGUUUGUUAAUUUAGAAAGUAAAAAAAUGUAUUUUAUGCAAUUUAGCUAUUUUUUUACAAAAUUGACACUAAAGUUAUACUUUUAUUCAAUUUAGUCUCUAAGCCUAAAACAUGCAAAUUAACCAUUUUUAAUGCAAAUCCAUGCUAGCCAAAUAUUCAUGGCAUUCAAUACAGCCCAUUUUUGCAGUAAUUUCACAACAAACCCUUUUAUUUUUACUAUUUCAACAAUUUAGUUCCUAAUCGAAAAAUUCAUCAAAAAUCCCUUAAUAAAAUACUUUUAAAUACCAACCAACAUUUCAAAUUCAUAAUUUAACAUAAAAAAUCACUAGAUUCAUCAAUGGCAACAUUGAAAAUCUUUAAUAGUUUCAAAAUCGAUGGUACGGGCUAGCUGGACCUAGUUGGAACGAUAUUAAAAACAUAAAAUUUAAAAGAAACAGGGCUAAAAUGACAUACAAAUUAAGCUUUUGAACAUGCCGAAAUUCCUAGGUCUAAAAUAGCUCCGUUUUCUUCUUUACAAUCGGUGAAAAAGACAUGAAAAUGGUUAUAAUGGCUUUUCUUUUAUUUAAUUAAAGUUUAAUUAUAAAAGUACAAUUUUGUCCAUUUAAAAUUCAACAAAUUUUCAAGAUUUUAAUUAACCAAAACCGUCCACUAACUCCUUAAAUGGUUUAAUUACCAUUUAAGCCCAUUUUCCUUUAUUCAAUAAGCCAUUUAAUCACUCAAAUCAAAAAGUGAUCAAAUUUUACGUCUUUUACAAUUUAGUCCUUUUUAAUUAAUUAACUGUCGAAACGUUAAAUUUUUUUAACGAAACUUUAAUACCACCUUAAUGACACUUCAUAAAUAUUUAUAAAAAUAUUUACUGUUCAGUUUAUAGAAACGAGGUCCCGAUACCUCAUUUUCUAAAACCAUUUGACUUUAAUGUCUUACCAUUCGAACUUAAUAAAUCGCUUAAAUAACAUAAAUUAUCAAAUCAAAAACCUUUUUAAAACCACGGUUGACUCGUAAAUAUUUAAUAAUAAUGUUUACUAACUUACUUGUCGAAUUUGGUGGUCCUAAAACCAUUGUUUCCAACACCACUGAAAAACAGGCUGUUACAAUAUGAGUCGACAAACCUUUACUACAAAACAGAAAAAGAUAAGGACUUAAUGGAUCAUCUUAACAUAACCCCCUAGAAGGACGAAACGCCUUUCCUUCUUCCCCAUUCAUAAUGACCUUGCAUAAUGUUGUGGAGAUACAUCGAAUGAUAAGGUGAGUCAACCUAUCUUCAAAACCCAUCUUUAACAUUAUACAUUUCAGAAAAGUCUACUCCUCCCAGUCAUAUGCUUUACUCAUAUCCAACUUAAAAGCUAAACAACCCUUGAGACCUAUCCUCUUAUUUUUGAAAGUGUGCAGAAUCUCGUAGACAAGCAAAACAUUGUCAGUUAUCAACUGACUAGGAACAAAUUUACUCUACGCUUCAUCAAUACAAAGACCCGAAACUAUUUGAAGCCUAUUUGUGAUAGCCUUAGAAAUAAUUUUAUACAUAAUAGUACAUAGGCUUAUGGGAUGGAAAUUUCUCGGAUGAGAUAUCUUUGGAAUCAAAAAAAUAUUCAUAACAUUAAUAGGUUCCAAAGACAUACCUUGAUUAAGGAUUUCCAGGAAAUAAGAGUUGACAUUUGUAAACUGAAAAAUAUAUAGGAUUUUUCCUAUAUAAUUCAUUACAUUUUUACUCAAAUUUGUUGUUAAAACCAAGUAAUUGUUUAAUAAAUUAAUGAAAUACGUGAAAAUAUGAAAUUAGGACAUAGAAAUUAUUAAAAUGUGAUUUUAUACUUUAUUAUAUAGUUUUCAUGCAUAAAAUGGCUUAUUUUAUAUUAAUUUGAGCAUAUUAUAUUUUUAAGCUAUAAAGUGGGUCAUGCAUGAUUAAAUUAAACAAUAAAAUAUAAAGUUAUAUUUAAUAAUUCAUUUUUAAUAAUUCAUUAAUAAAUUGGGUUUUAAUUAAUUAAGUAAAUUGAUUAAUUAAAGUGGUUAAAUUAUAUUAUUUGGUCCUCUAAACUAUCUACUAUUUUUGGAUAGGUUUGAGAGUUUUCUUCUAAUUGCAAAACCGUCCAAAUUGGGGACCAAGUCUACCCAAUUUUUGGCUACACAUGGAUGUCAUAAACCAUUUUUUUGGUUUAAUUAUACAAAGUCCUUGAAGAGUUAAAGAAAUUGGAGAUUUUCCCGAAGAUUUGCUGAUGACCGAGUCUUAGUCUUGAAUUGUUGUGGCACUCAAAUUGACCAAAAAUUAAGGAAAAAUCAGCCACCUUUCCUCAAUUCAUGGCCAACCACUCUUGAAGGAAGUUUCAAAGGAUGGACACUCCUAUUUUAAGCAAACUAGCUCCCUUGCCUCACCUAUAAAUAAGAGCUCAUUUCUCACUUUUUUAAUCAUCCCUCAUCCCAUCAUCUCUCACUCAUUCAUCAUUCUCUCAACUCUUUUAGCUAUCUUUCCCCUUCAUCAUCCUUGCAUAAGGGUUUUAGCAAUUAAGCCUCUUAAGGAACCCUUGGUCUGCCACCUUGGAGAGCCAUCAGCAAAGGAGCAACGUAAAGAAGUGAAGGAGCCUCGUCAGUCAGAGUCUUGGGUGACAACCACUCUGAAUUGUGUUUAAUCUUUCUUUUCUUUAAAUUUAAUUUAAA